GUCGAGCGGUAGCACAGAGAGCUUGCUCUCGGGUGACGAGCGGCGGACGGGUGAGUAAUGUCUGGGAAACUGCCUGAUGGAGGGGGAUAACUACUGGAAACGGUAGCUAAUACCGCAUAACGUCGCAAGACCAAAGUGGGGGACCUUCGGGCCUCAUGCCAUCAGAUGUGCCCAGAUGGGAUUAGCUAGUAGGUGGGGUAACGGCUCACCUAGGCGACGAUCCCUAGCUGGUCUGAGAGGAUGACCAGCCACACUGGAACUGAGACACGGUCCAGACUCCUACGGGAGGCAGCAGUGGGGAAUAUUGCACAAUGGGCGCAAGCCUGAUGCAGCCAUGCCGCGUGUGUGAAGAAGGCCUUCGGGUUGUAAAGCACUUUCAGCGGGGAGGAAGGCGUUAAGGUUAAUAACCUUGGCGAUUGACGUUACCCGCAGAAGAAGCACCGGCUAACUCCGUGCCAGCNGCCGGGGUAAUACGGAGGGUGCAAGCGUUAU
rnacentral:rRNA from 1 species